rnacentral:rRNA from 1 species
UACAGAGGGUGCGAGCGUUGUCCGGAAUCACUGGGCGUAAAGGGCGCGUAGGUGGCGACCCAAGUCGAUGGUGAAAGCUCGCCGCUCAACGGCGAGUCGGCCACCGAUACUGGGUUGCUCGAGCACUGUAGAGGCUCAUGGAAUUCCGGGUGUAGCGAUGGAAUGCGUAGAGAUCCGGAAGAACACCGGUGGCGAAGGCGGUGAGCUGGGCAGUUGCUGACACUGAGGCGCGACAGCGUGGGGAGCAAACAGG